CAGCCGCCGCGGUAAUACGUAGGUGGCAAGCGCUGUCCGGAAUUAUUGGGCGUAAAGGGCUCGCAGGCGGUUUCUUAAGUCUGAUGUGAAAGCCCCCGGCUCAACCGGGGAGGGUCAUUGGAAACUGGGAAACUUGAGUGCAGAAGAGGAGAGUGGAAUUCCACGUGUAGCGGUGAAAUGCGUAGAGAUGUGGAGGAACACCAGUGGCGAAGGCGACUCUCUGGUCUGUAACUGACGCUGAGGAGCGAAAGCGUGGGGAGCGAACAGGAUUAGAUACCCCCGUAGUCCCUGUCUCUUAUAC
rnacentral:rRNA from 1 species